rnacentral:rRNA from 1 species
AAAGUGGAGCAAUCCAUGAGUAGAGUGGCAAACGGGUGAGUAACGCGUGGGUGACCUGCCUUCGAGUGGGGGAUAACGCUCCGAAAGGGACGCUAAUACCGCAUAACAUCCUGCCUUUUAAGAGGUGGAAAUCAAAGCCUGGGACCGCAAGGCCAGGCGCUGGAAGAGGGGCCCGCGUCUGAUUAGCUAGUUGGUGGGGUAAUGGCUCACCAAGGCUUCGAUCAGUAUCCGGCCUGAGAGGGCGGACGGACACACUGGGACUGAGACACGGCCCAGACUCCUACGGGAGGCAGCAGUGGGGAAUUGUUCGCAAUGGGCGCAAGCCUGACGACGCAACGCCGCGUGGAGGAUGAAGAUCUUCGGGUCGUAAACUCCUUUCGAUCGAGACGAAUGGCCUCUGGGUGAACAAUCCAGAGGAGUGACGGUACCGAGAGAAGAAGCCCCGGCUAACUCCGUGCCAGCAGCCGCGGUAAUACGGGGGGGGCAAGCGUUGCUCGGAAUUACUGGGCGUAAAGGGCUCGUAGGUGGCCAACUAAGUCAGACGUGAAAUCCCUCGGCUUAACCGGGGAACUGCGUCUGAUACUGGAUGGCUUGAGUUUGGGAGAGGGACGCGGAAUUCCAGGUGUAGCGGUGAAAUGCGUAGAUAUCUGGAGGAACACCGGUGGCGAAGGCGGCGUCCUGGACCAACACUGACACUGAUGAGCGAAAGCCAGGGGAGCAAACGGGAUUAGAUACCCCGGUAGUCCUGGCCCUAAACGAUGAAUGCUUGGUGUGGCGGGUAUCGAUCCCUGCCGUGCCGAAGCUAACGCAUUAAGCA